rnacentral:rRNA from 1 species
AGAGUUUGAUCAUGGCUCAGAAUGAACGCUGGCGGCGUGCCUAACACAUGCAAGUCGGAUGUGCCGCAAGGUGCAUGGCAGACGGGUGAGUAACGCGUGGGGAAUCUACCUCUUUGUGGGGAAUAACGCUCCGAAAGGAGUGGUAAUACCGCAUGAGAUCCAUGGCUGGGAUGCUGUGGAUGAAACCUGGGGAUCGCAAGACCUGGGGCAAGGAGAGGAUCCUGCGUCUGAUUAGCUAGUUGGUGAGGUAACGGCCCACCAAGGCAACGAUCAGUAGCCGGCCUGAGAGGGUGAUCGGCCACACUGGAACUGAGACACGGUCCAGACUCCUACGGGAGGCAGCAGUGGGGAAUUUUGCGCAAUGGGCGAAAGCCUGACGCAGCAACGCCGCGUGGGUGAUGAAGGUCUUCGGAUCGUAAAACCCCGUCGUCGGGGACGAAGGUUUGGGGGUUAAUAGCCUUUAAGCUUGACGGUACCCGGAGAGGAAGCCCCGGCUAACUCUGUGCCAGCAGCCGCGGUAAUACAGAGGGGGCAAGCGUUAUUCGGAAUUAUUGGGCGUAAAGGGCGCGUAGGCGGCUUUUUAAGUGAGAUGUGUAAUCCCCGAGCUCAACUUGGGAACUGCAUCUCAUACUGGGAGGCUAGAGUACUGGAGAGGGUGGUAGAAUUCCACGUGUAGCGGUGAAAUGCGUAGAGAUGUGGAGGAAUACCAGUGGCGAAGGCGGCCACCUGGACAGUAACUGACGCUGAGGCGCGAAAGUGUGGGUAGCAAACAGGAUUAGAUACCCUGGUAGUCC